CGUGUAGGCGGGAAUACAAGUCAGAUGUGAAAUACUGUGGCUCAACCACAGAACGGCAUCUGAAACUGUAUUUCUUGAGUACUGGAGAGGAAAGCGGAAUUCCUAGUGUAGCGGUGAAAUGCGUAGAUAUUAGGAGGAACACCGGUGGCGAAGGCGGCUUUCUGGACAGUAACUGACGCUGAGACGCGAAAGCGUGGGGAGCAAACAGGAUUAGAUACCCUGGUAGUC
rnacentral:rRNA from 1 species